rnacentral:lncRNA from 1 species
CCCUAAAGAACAAGGAGAAAAUAUAAGGACUGAAUUGCCCGAGUAAGAUCAUCUAAAGAUAUAAUUGGCAUACAACUACUUCAAUAAGAUAAGAGAAAACCUAAAAAGGCUCAUCAGAAAGAGAAAAUAUACAAUACAUAAAAAGGAAUUUUCAAGAAAGUUGAGUUAAAAAAAUAGAAAUCCUAAACCAAGUCAAUGAACAGAAAAAAGCCAGAGAAACAAUUCAUUAUGCUCACAUAAAGAAGACCAGUUCCAAUAUAUUCUGCCCAUUAACUGUAAUACACUGCUGCUGAAGGCAGAUGAAUGACGCUUGAGAUGUGAUUGCAGACAAUUACCAAAAGAGAAAAGUCAAAAAAAUUAUAUUAAAAAGAAAAAAAAAGGAAUUACUCCUAGAUAUUUAUUUUCCAAGUGCGGUUGACAGUGUCUCAAGGAGAAGUAGAAGACUUAAUCAGACAUGAUUAAUAAGAAUCAAGAAGCUUUCAAUAUCUAGUCUAGAAAUAUUAAUAAUUUAAUGUGCACUGCAAAAAGCAAAAGUUGAAAUUAUCCAUGAUAGCAAUAAAAAAUUCAAACGAUUCAUGUUUGGAGGAUAAUGGCAGAUUCCACAGAACUUCACACUAUUAAAGUAUUAAGUGUCUUACUCGGAGAUGAGCAGGUUUUAGGAAAACCCAUGCAUAUGUCAAAGUGCUGACUCCCACAUCAGCUUAAGAUGUGUAACUUGGACUGCUUGAAUGAUCUUGGACAAUUCUCACCUCAUAAGCUAGCUUUCGGGAUUAAGUUAGGCCCAAGGUCCAUCUAUCAUGGUCUCACACUAUUAAAGUAUUAAGUGUCUUACUCGGAGAUGAGCAGGUUUUAGGAAAACCCAUGCAUAUGUCAAAGUGCUGACUCCCACAUCAGCUUAAGAUGUGUAACUUGGACUGCUUGAAUGAUCUUGGACAAUUCUCACCUCAUAAGCUAGCUUUCGGGAUUAAGUUAGGCCCAAGGUCCAUCUAUCAUGGUCUCACACUAUUAAAGUAUUAAGUGUCUUACUCGGAGAUGAGCAGGUUUUAGGAAAACCCAUGCAUCGUGUCAAAGUGCUGAGUCCCCACAUCAGCUUAAGAUGUGUAACUUGGACUCCUUGAAUUAUCUUGGGCAAUCUUCACCUCAUAAAAUAGCUUUCGAGGUUAAGUUAGGCCCAAGGUUCAUUUAUCAUGGUCUCAGAGCCAUGCACGUUUCAUUAUUUACCCGACGUUGGACCCCCAUCUUAUAUUGUUUACGCUCUAGUCGUCCAGUAUUGGGCAUGCAGGAGGUGUUGAGUCCCAUAUCGGCUCAAGAUGGGUAACUUGGACUCCUCAUAUGGUCUUGGGCAAUCCCCACCUCAUAAACUAGCUUUUGAGGUUGAGUUAGGCCCAACUGGAGUAUGCAUAUGAGAUGGGGCCCCAACAUCAGGUAAAUAUGAGAUGGGUCUGCCUCUGAUACCAUGAUAAUAAUGGACAUUGGGCCUAACUCAAUCCCUAAAGCUAGCUCAAAGGGUGAGGAUUGCCCAAGCCAUAUAAAGAAUCCGUGGAAACCAUCCAUCUCCCAUGUGGACUUUCAUCACAAAGAUAAACAAGAUAAUUUGUGAACUCACUGCUAAAUGUGCAUUUAAGAUGGGUAUAUUUUCAGUUUGAAAUAAUAAGUUCAAUAGAUGGCCAAAGGGGUGUCAAAAUUAAGAAAAGAGCCAGGGAAGAUCCCAAUCAGAAGUUGUAUCUCUUUUUUUGUAUUACUGAAAAUUAUUCUUUGGAGGUUAUACCUGC